GAUGAACGCUAGCGGCAGGCCUAAUACAUGCAAGUCGUACGGCAACACAGUUGCGAGCAAUCGCAACCGGUGGCGAGUGGCGCACGGGUGAGUAACGCGUAUGUAACCUACCCUUCUCCGGGACAUAACUCCGCGAAAGCGGUGCUAAUAUCCCAUACCAACUCAUCAAGACAUCUUCUUGAGUUGAAAGCAGCAAUGCGGUGAAGGAUGGGCAUGCGUCCCAUUAGCUGGUUGGUGAGGUAAUGGCCCACCAAGGCUACGAUGGGUAGGGGCUCUGAGAGGAAAGCCCCCCACACUGGUACUGAGACACGGACCAGACUCCUACGGGAGCAGCAGUAAGGAAUAUUGGGCAAUGGUCGAAAGACUGACCCAGCCAUGCCGCGUGCAGGAUGAAGGCCCUAUGGGUUGUAAACUGCUUUUAGCCGGGAAUAAACACCCGUUUUAUAACGGGCCCGAAGGUACCGGCUGAAUAAGCAUCGGCUAACUCCGUGCC
rnacentral:rRNA from 1 species